AUCGGGACCUGGGCUCCUACCAGGUUUCGUGGAUUUGAUUGCGAGUGCUAGUUCCCCUAUGGAUAUUGGUUCGUCUAGUUGAUCUGCCGUGUCGGCCGCCAGGGAGGGGAGCCUAUGGGUCUUUAGGUAGUCGUCUAUUGAGGUCUGUAGUGAUCGUGACUGCGCGUCUGUGUGUGGGCGUGGAAGGGAGUAGAGUUCCGCGUAAUAUGUGCGAAUGAUUUCCUGAAUCUUGGCCGGAUGUCUGUGUAGGACCCCUGCCUUGUCACAAAUCCUGUCUAUAUACGUGUCUUGU